rnacentral:rRNA from 1 species
AGAGUUUGAUCAUGGCUCAGGACGAACGCUGGCGGCGUGCCUAAUACAUGCAAGUAGAACGCUGAAGAAAGGAGCUUGCUUCUUUUGGAUGAGUUGCGAACGGGUGAGUAACGCGUAGGUAACCUGCCUUGUAGCGGGGGAUAACUAUUGGAAACGAUAGCUAAUACCGCAUAACAGCUUUUGACACAUGUUAGAAGCUUGAAAGAUGCAAUUGCAUCACUACGAGAUGGACCUGCGUUGUAUUAGCUAGUAGGUAGGGUAACGGCCUACCUAGGCGACGAUACAUAGCCGACCUGAGAGGGUGAUCGGCCACACUGGGACUGGGACACGGCCCAGACUCCUACGGGAGGCAGCAGUAGGGAAUCUUCGGCAAUGGGGGCAACCCUGACCGAGCAACGCCGCGUGAGUGAAGAAGGUUUUCGGAUCGUAAAGCUCUGUUGUAAGAGAAGAACGUGUGUGAGAGUGGAAAGUUCAUACAGUGACGGUAACUUACCAGAAAGGGACGGCUAACUACGUGCCAGCAGCCGCGGUAAUACGUAUGUCCCGAGCGUUGUCCGGAUUUAUUGGGCGUAAAGCGAGCGCAGGCGGUUUAAUAAGUCUGAAGUUAAAGGCAGUGGCUUAACCAUUGUUCGCUUUGGAAACUGUUAAACUUGAGUGCAGAAGGGGAGAGUGGAAUUCCAUGUGUAGCGGUGAAAUGCGUAGAUAUAUGGAGGAACACCGGUGGCGAAAGCGGCUCUCUGGUCUGUAACUGACGCUGAGGCUCGAAAGCGUGGGGAGCAAACAGGAUUAGAUACCCUGGUAGUCCACGCCGUAAACGAUGAGUGCUAGGUGUUAGGCCCUUUCCGGGGCUUAGUGCCGCAGCUAACGCAUUAAGCACUCCGCCUGGGGAGUACGACCGCAAGGUUGAAACUCAAAGGAAUUGACGG